UAAUGGCAGGUCAGCAUACUGCCGUGAAUACGUUCCCGGGCCUUGUACACACCGCCCGUCACACCAUGAGAGUUGGGGAUACCCGAAGCCUGUGAGCCAACUUUUUAAGAGGCAGCAGUCGAAGGUAGAAUCAAUGAUUGGGGUGAAGUCGUAACAAGGUAGC
rnacentral:rRNA from 1 species